rnacentral:misc_RNA from 1 species
CAACCAUCAAGCCCUAGGCUUGUGUUGGGGUUCUGCGGCUGUCCGCAGGCCCUGAAAAUCAGUGGCGGGCUCGUUGUCAAACCGAGUGCAGUAGUAAUAUUCUCUCUGGUCUUACAGCUUGUUCUUGCCGUAAAACAAUCCAAUUUCUAA